CUCCUCUCAGGGUCACACCUGGAGAGUUUCUAGUACUCUACCAGUCUCGGCUACAGGAGGGAGAGUCAAGCAGGGAAUGGAAUCCAUUCCAUUCCUAGCUUGGGCAAUGGCUAGUGAGUGGAAGAUGAGUCAAAACUC